CUUAUAUUAUUUGUCAUUGAGAAAGGUUCAUUCGCUCAAAAAAUUGGUUUAUUUGUCUGCAAAUAAACGAAUAAUUCGGAUUACUUGUACGUUUUUCAUGUCGUCAUGGACUAGGUGUUUUAAAAAAACCGCUAUUAUUCAGUAGAAUCACCGUAUCUGGUUAAAUCUUUUUGAUAUUCGGCAUUUAAUCAAUACUUCAAAAGAUACAACGUGAGAAAGGAACAUUGGAUGCCUAGAUCGACGAUUUCGAUCGGCAGUUUAACUUCGCCGUGACCGUCACCGGAAGUCCGAAUUUUGUCAUUCUAAUGUUUUGAACGGAUCAUCCACAGCAUCCGGAUAUAAUUGUCUUCUUGCCGCACUUCCACCCUUCCACUUAGCCAGAACGCCAGGGGCAAUGGCAGAAAGAGAAAAACGUGCCAAUGCGGGCAAGAGAUUUUCACUGGCCGAUAUUGUCCCAAGUGCAAGCGAUGCCGCUGGGGUGAAGAAGACAAAACGUCAGUACAACCAAGCUUAUUUGCUAAAGCUGAAACAAGACCAUGAGCGGCAAGUAUCAUUCCAUGAAUCUGUAUAAAUUGCUUGAAUUUUGGUAGAGGAAGCUUUUGAACUCCGUUCUAAUAGUCUUUGAGUAUUGUCGGUAGCACUUUGAGUUUUUAAAUUUUCUGUUGAAAAAAAUUGAUCAGGUUCGAGUGGUGUUCCUGUUUCUCCUUCGCACAUGUGUAGUGUAUUUUUUGUUUAAAUGUUGAAAUUAUUGAAUUACUUUCUGACAUAGAUGCAAUAUUAUUCUGAGCUGUGUGAGCACAAUGUGGACAAUUUUCAUAUGCAGUACAACACAGAAGCUCGAGUUCGUCAGGACCGGCCUCGGUAGUUCGAGGGAUAUCUUUAAGAAGAAAAAAAAACCCAGGAUAGCAGGCACAAUUGGACGGGUGCAUGAUUUUAAGUCUUCUGUGUUUGACCUAGCCGUGUUGUAUUUGACUUGAUGUAACUAUUGUGAACAUAUUUGGUUUCAACCUGCCCUUGUUUCUUCAGACUGUACCAAAGUGUUCUGGACUACAGGGUAGUCAGAGGGCAGAGAGCCAUGACUUCAAAAUAUUUCAGAAAAGACUCUGUCUUCACCAAAAAAUCUUAAUUUUGACAUUUUCAACAACUACACGGCAUUUAAGGAGGAUGAAAGAGAGAGGGCCAGGGAAAAAGCAGCUUCAAAAGCAAAGGGAACGACACGAAGAUACAGGUUGACUGAUGCUCCACCUCCCAUGACACAGGGAGCGUUUGGCAGCAGCAACGGCGACACAAUCUCCAGAUUGAGCCACACCAAAACCCAGACGGAAAAAGACGCGGGCACAACAAGCCAAAGAAGACAAAGUUCGGGAGAGGAACAAGAAGUCGGCCAAGAAAAUGAGGGAGAAUUACUCUAGCCAAAAGUGAACAGCUGUGAACAGGAAACGGAAUGACAGAUAUUAUUUUUAAAAACUAGAA